rnacentral:rRNA from 1 species
UACGGAGGGUGCAAACGUUGCUCGGAAUCAUUGGGCGUAAAGCGCACGUAGGCGGUUCAGUAUGUCGGGGGUGAAAGCCUGUGGCUCAACCACAGAAUUGCCUUCGAUACUGUCGGGCUUGAGACCGGAAGAGGUAAGUGGAACUGCGAGUGUAGAGGUGAAAUUCGUAGAUAUUCGCAAGAACACCAGUGGCGAAGGCGGCUUACUGGUCCGGUUCUGACGCUGAGGCGCGAAAGCGUGGGGAGCAAACAGG